AUUGAACGCUGGCGGCAUGCUUUACACAUGCAAGUCGAACGGUAACAGGGAGCUUGCUCCGCUGACGAGUGGCGAACGGGUGAGUAAUGCGUCGGAACGUGCCGAGUAGUGGGGGAUAACGCAUCGAAAGGUGUGCUAAUACCGCAUACGUACUGAGGUAGAAAGUGGGGGACCUUCGGGCCUCACGCUAUUCGAGCGGCCGACGUCUGAUUAGCUAGUUGGUGAGGUAAAGGCUCAACAAGGCGACGAUCAGUAGCGGGUCUGAGAGGAUGAUCCGCCACACUGGGACGGAGACAGGGCCCAGACUCCUACGGGAGGCAGCAGUGGGGAAUUUUGGACAAUGGGCGCAAGCCUGAUCCAGCCAUGCCGCGUGUCUGAAGAAGGCCUUCGGGUUGUAAAGGACUUUUGUCCGGGAGCAAAUGCCUGGUGUUAAUAGCAUCGGGAGCUGAGAGUACCGGAAGAAUAAGCACCGGCUAACUACGUGCCAGCCGCCGCGGUAAGAC
rnacentral:rRNA from 1 species